rnacentral:rRNA from 1 species
GACGAACGCUGGCGGCGUGCUUAACACAUGCAAGUCGAACGGAAAGGCCCUGCUUUUGUGGGGUGCUCGAGUGGCGAACGGGUGAGUAACACGUGAGUAACCUGCCCUUGACUUUGGGAUAACUUCAGGAAACUGGGGCUAAUACCGGAUAGGAGCUCCUGCUGCAUGGUGGGGGUUGGAAAGUUUCGGCGGUUGGGGAUGGACUCGCGGCUUAUCAGCUUGUUGGUGGGGUAGUGGCUUACCAAGGCGUUGACGGGUAGCCGGCCUGAGAGGGUGAACGGCCACAUUGGGACUGAGAUACGGCCCAGACGCAUACGGGAGGCAGCAGUGGGGAAUAUUGCACAAUGGGCGGAAGCCUGAUGCAGCAACGCCGCGUGCGGGAUGACGGCCUUCGGGUUGUAAACCGCUUUCGCCUGUGACGAAGCGUGAGUGACGGUAAUGGGUAAAGAAGCACCGGCUAACUACGUG